rnacentral:rRNA from 1 species
CAGCUUGUACAGGAUAGGUAGGAGCCAUAGAAACCGGAACGCUAGUUUCGGUGGAGGCGUUGGUGGGAUACUACCCUCGCUGUAUGACCACUCUAACCCGCACCACUAAUCGUGGUGGGAGACAGUGUCAGGUGGGCAGUUUGACUGGGGCGGUCGCCUCCUAAAAAGUAACGGAGGCGCCCAAAGGUUCCCUCAGAAUGGUUGGAAAUCAUUCGCAGAGUGUAAAGGCACAAGGGAGCUUGACUGCGAGACAGACAGGUCGAGCAGGGACGAAAGUCGGGCUUAGUGAUCCGGUGGUACCGUAUGGAAGGGCCAUCGCUCAACGGAUAAAAGCUACCCUGGGGAUAACAGGCUUAUCUCCCCCAAGAGUCCACAUCGACGGGGAGGUUUGGCACCUCGAUGUCGGCUCAUCGCAUCCUGGGGCUGUAGUCGGUCCCAAGGGUUGGGCUGUUCGCCCAUUAAAGCGGUACGCGAGCUGGGUUCAGAACGUCGUGAGACAGUUCGGUCCCUAUCCGUCGCGGGCG